rnacentral:rRNA from 1 species
UACGUAGGGACCAAGCGUUGUUCGGAUUUACUGGGCGUAAAGGGCGCGUAGGCGGCAUGACAAGUCACUUGUGAAAUCUCCGGGCUUAACUCGGAACGGUCAAGUGAUACUGUCGCGCUAGAGUGCGGAAGGGGCAAUCAGAAUUCUUGGUGUAGCGGUGAAAUGCGUAGAUAUCAAGAGGAAUACCUGAGGUGAAGACGGGUUGCUGGUCUAACACUGACGCUGAGGCGCGAAAGCCAGGGGAGCAAACGGG